rnacentral:rRNA from 1 species
CCUACGGGAGGCAGCAGUGGGGAAUAUUGGGCAAUGGGCGCAAGCCUGACCCAGCAACGCCGCGUGAAGGAAGAAGGCUUUCGGGUUGUAAACUUCUUUUAAGGGGGAAGAGCAGAAGACGGUACCCCUUGAAUAAGCCACGGCUAACUACGUGCCAGCAGCCGCGGGAAUACGUAGCUGGCAAGCGGUGUCAGGAUUUACUGGGUGUAAAGGGCGUGCAGCCGGAGAGACAAGUCAGAUGUGAAAUCCACGGGCUCAACCCGUGAACUGCAUUUGACACUGUGUCCCUUGAGUGCCGGAGAGGUAAUCGGAAUUCCUUGUGUAGCGGUGAAAUGCGUAGAUAGAAGGAAGAACACCAGUGGCGAAGGCGGAUUACUGGACGAUAACUGACGGUGAGGCGCGAAAGCGUGGGGAGCAAACAGGAUUAGAUACCCGGGUAGUC